AGGCAAUAUGUUUAUCUUGUCUGCAGUAAGUAACAUAAUUACUCAUUAUGUAUUUGUCUGAUGAAAUGCAUUUAUGAAUACUGAAUUCUUUUCAAUUACUUGCAACAGGAGUGACGGAAUUAUGAAAGUUUGAUCAAGAUAGUGCUUUGUUGACCAUCAGGGGUAUACAUGUGUUGUUGUGUUUUGAUAUAGUCCUGUUGCUUCUUAUAUUCUCUCAUGAUUCCUUGCCUAAUGUUGUGUUUGUGCAUAUCUCUUGAUUGGCAUUGGCUCCAGAAAUCAUUCAGAAGGCAGGAUCACAAGAUUGAUGUGAAAUCUUUUUUCUGAUGAAAGGAAUUGCAAAAUCGGUUACAGCUGUUGCAAGAAAUGCUCAGUGAUGUGAAGUAUAGAUUGAGUUGUUGGACCGUACCAGGAAAUGUCACUAAUGCACUCCAAAUCAAAGUAAUGGAAGAAUCUUUGAUGAAAUAUCUUGAUUCACGUUGAGAACA